UGCAGUCGAGCGGUAACAGAGAGGUGCUUGCNCCUUUGCUGACGAGCGGCGGACGGGUGAGUAAUGCUUGGGAACAUGCCUUGAGGUGGGGGACAACAGUUGGAAACGACUGCUAAUACCGCAUAAUGUCUACGGACCAAAGGGGGCUUCGGCUCUCGCCUUUAGAUUGGCCCAAGUGGGAUUAGCUAGUUGGUGAGGUAAUGGCUCACCAAGGCGACGAUCCCUAGCUGGUUUGAGAGGAUGAUCAGCCACACUGGGACUGAGACACGGCCCAGACUCCUACGGGAGGCAGCAGUGGGGAAUAUUGCACAAUGGGCGCAAGCCUGAUGCAGCCAUGCCGCGUGUGUGAAGAAGGCCUUCGGGUUGUAAAGCACUUUCAGUCAGGAGGAAAGGUUAGUAGUUAAUACCUGCUAGCUGUGACGUUACUGACAGAAGAAGCACCGGCUAACUCCGUGCCAGCAGCCGCGGUAAUCGGAGGGUGCGAGCGUUAAUCGGAAUUACUGGGCGUAAAGCGUACGCAGGCGGUUUGUUAAGCGAGAUGUGAAAGCCCCGGGCUCAACCUGGGAACUGCAUUUCGAACUGGCAAACUAGAGUGUGAUAGAGGGUGGUAGAAUUUCAGGUGUAGCGGUGAAAUGCGUAGAGAUCUGAAGGAAUACCGAUGGCGAAGGCAGCCACCUGGGUCAACACUGACGCUGAUGUACGAAAGC
rnacentral:rRNA from 1 species